AGGGUUCGAUUCUGGCUCAGGAUGAACGCUGGCGGCGUGCCUAACACAUGCAAGUCGAACGGAGAAACCGCCCUCGGGCGGAGAUGAAGUGGCGAACGGGUGAGUAACACGUGACCAACCUGCCCCGCGCUCCGGGACAGCCUCGCGAAAGCGGGAUUAAUACCGGAUGCGCCGCGGGCCCCGCAUGGGGCCCGCGGGAAAGCCCAGGCGGCGCGGGAUGGGGUCGCGGCCCAUCAGGUAGUGGGUCGGGUGGAGGCCGACCCAGCCGACGACGGGUAGCCGGGUUGAGAGACCGACCGGCCACAUUGGGACUGAGAUACGGCCCAGACUCCUACGGGAGGCAGCAGUGGGGAAUAUUGCGCAAUGGGGGAAACCCUGACGCCAGCAACGCCGCGUGCGGGAUGACGGCCCUCGGGUUGUAAACCGCUUUCAGCAGGGAAGACAUCGACGGUACCUGCAGAAGAAGCCCCGGCUAACUACGUGCCAGCAGCAGC
rnacentral:rRNA from 1 species